AUCGGGGUUGCGGACAGUGUCUGGUGGGUAGUUUGACUGGGGCGGUCUCCUCCUAAAGAGUAACGGAGGAGCACGAAGGUUGGCUAAUCCUGGUCGGACAUCAGGAGGUUAGUGCAAUGGCAUAAGCCAGCUUGACUGCGAGCGUGACGGCGCGAGCAGGUGCGAAAGCAGGUCAUAGUGAUCCGGUGGUUCUGAAUGGAAGGGCCAUCGCUCAACGGAUAAAAGGUACUCCGGGGAUAACAGGCUGAUACCGCCCAAGAGUUCAUAUCGACGGCGGUGUUUGGCACCUCGAUGUCGGCUCAUCACAUCCUGGGGCUGAAGUAGGUCCCAAGGGUAUGGCUGUUCGCCAUUUAAAGUGGUACGCGAGCUGGGUUUAGAACGUCGUGAGACAGUUCGGUCCCUAUCUGCCGUGGGCGCUGGAGAACUGAGGGGGGCUGCUCCUAGUACGAGAGGACCGGAGUGGACGCAUCACUGGUGUUCGGGUUGUCAUGCCAAUGGCACUGCCCGGUAGCUAAAUGCGGAAGAGAUAAGUGCUGAAAGCAUCUAAGCACGAAACUUGCCCCGAGAUGAGUUCUCCCUGACUCCCUGAGAGUCCUGAAGGAACGUUGAAGACGACGACGUUGAUAGGCCGGGUGUGUAAGCGCAGCGAUGCGUUGAGCUAACCGGUACUAAUGAACCGUGAGGCUUAACCUUACAACGCCGAAG
rnacentral:rRNA from 1 species